GAUGAACGCUGGCGGCGUGCCUAAUACAUGCAAGUCGAGCGAACAGACGAGGAGCUUGCUCCUCUGACGUUAGCGGCGGACGGGGGAGUAACACGUGGAUAACCUACCUAUAAGACUGGGAUAACUUCGGGAAACCGGAGCUAAUACCGGAUAAUAUAUUGAACCGCAUGGUUCAAUAGUGAAAGACGGUUUUGCUGUCACUUAUAGAUGGAUCCGCGCCGCAUUAGCUAGUUGGUAAGGUAACGGCUUACCAAGGCAACGAUGCGUAGCCGACCUGAGAGGGUGAUCGGCCACACUGGAACUGAGACACGGUCCAGACUCCUACGGGAGGCAGCAGUAGGGAAUCUUCCGCAAUGGGCGAAAGCCUGACGGAGCAACGCCGCGUGUAUGAUGAAGGUCUUCGGAUCGUAAAACUCUGUUGUUAGGGAAGAACAAAUGUGUAAGUAACUAUGCACGUCUUGACGGUACCUAAUCAGAAAGCCACGGCUAACUACGUG
rnacentral:rRNA from 1 species